UACGGGGGGGGCAAGCGUUGUUCGGAAUUACUGGGCGUAAAGGGCUCGUAGGCGGCCAACUAAGUCCGACGUGAAAUCCCCAGGCUUAACCUGGGAACUGCGUCGGAUACUGGAUGGCUUGAAUUCGGGAGAGGGAUGCAGAAUUCCAGGUGUAGCGGUGAAAUGCGUAGAUAUCUGGAGGAAUACCGGUGGCGAAGGCGGCAUCCUGGACCGGUAUUGACGCUGAGGCGCGAAAGCGUGGGGAGCGAACAGG
rnacentral:rRNA from 1 species